rnacentral:rRNA from 1 species
UACGGAGGGUGCAAGCGUUAAUCGGAAUUACUGGGCGUAAAGCGCGCGUAGGCGGUUUGUUAAGUCGGAUGUGAAAUCCCCGGGCUCAACCUGGGCAUUGCAUUCGAUACUGGCAGGCUAGAGUAUGGUAGAGGGAAGUGGAAUUCCAGGUGUAGCGGUGAAAUGCGUAGAUAUCUGGAGGAACAUCAGUGGCGAAGGCGGCUUCCUGGACCAAUACUGACGCUGAGGUGCGAAAGCGUGGGGAGCAAACAGG